CUGGCCGAGCUGGAGCUGGAGCUGUCGGAAGGUUGAUAUGUUUGGCUCAGGUUGGGGUAGUGAAUUCUUGAAACAACCAACUAAUAAAUAUGUACUGGCUUGUACUAAUUCAUUUAAUUCUCACCAAGGUUAGGGAGGUAGGUGCUGUUGUUAUCUUUGUUCUACAGAUAUGACAACAUCUACUUACAAGU